ACUCUUUGGCUGCAAAUGAAGAAGCAAUUUGGGUUUCUCAUGUUUUCUUUUUUUUUUUUUUAAUGAACAGCUCCAGAUCUCCGCUUGUCUGAUUAAACAGUUGACAUGAGGAUUUGUCAGCAACUCACUUGCAUUAACAAAAGCUUGAGUGAUUUGGGGUUUCCUGGAGCAGCAGCUUUGGAUAAACCCAACACUGGGCAUCGCUCACAGGGCAGGAUGUCACAGGCUGUCACCUCGUCACCCUCCGGGUUGGUGCUGGGGUCCCUUCUGUCCACGUGGAAGGGAAGGGACACAACUCGGGUGGACAGCUCUGCAUUUGACAUUGAGGAAAAAACAGGCGCUGCUGGAUCUUCCACGUAAAAGCCUCUUUGUAAAGGAAGGGGAGGUGUGUGUGUCUGAUCAUCAGACACGAGGGCAGAGGAAAUUCUUCAGGAGUUCUGGCUGAAAAAGAAAGAUUAUUUCCUAAUCUUUUGGCUGCCAAAGCUCAGAAAACGUUGGUUCUCAGAUGGAAUUUCUCUGCUCACUGUCACUGAAGACACAGACCCUGUUUAUUUCAGUACGAACCUGGGAUUGUUUGAAGGCAAAUAUCCAAUGAAAAAACUUGGGUUUCAUCACUUGUCAGGAAAAGUGAAAAGAAAAAAACCUAAAACCAAAUACAGGGGAAGCCCUGCCUGGGUGGAAACACUGACCUGACCAAACUCCUGGUGACACGAGAGGGACCGAGCGUGGCCUGGUGGGCACAGAGAUGGUCCCCAGCAUCCCCGUGUCCCAGUCAGGCCUGGCCUGGGGAUGCUGGGCUGCGUGGCCAUGGUUUUUGGAGUGAUGGGGCAUGCCCUACAGCCUCUUUCCCACAGAUCUCCCCACCUGUGGUGCCUUCUAUAAUUCCCUUCUCCUUCCCAUCACUGAAGAAAUGGCAAAAUUCAUCCAACUUGAGUAAAACCUCCCCACAAUCCUGCCUUGGCUGAACCCUGCCUGCCUGUCCUGCCCAGGGCCCCCCCAUAGUGUCUGGGGGCUCCUUGCUUGUACAGAGCUCCCACUCUGUGCCUCCCCUUGGCUGGAGGCAGACACAGCCCAUCAGCUCACGUACAGGAAGGGUUUGCUGUGAAUUAGCCCUCCUGGGGCUUUCCUGGCAUCUCUCCAUCAGCUUGUAAGAUUUUUUUUGCUUCACAGUUUAAAACAACAGAGAUCCUGGCAGAGCUUUGGCUGUAUGGAUGGAAUUGGUGAUAAACCCAGCGAGUUCAUAAGUGUCGUGGCACAGCAAAGCUGGGCUGGAGCCGCUUUCCUGAGCUCUGAAUUGUGCCAUGACUGCAGACGACUGACAGGCCAGCGUUAAAGUCUCACUCAAGCCAAUGCAAGUCUUCCUCUCACUCCAGCAGCUUUGGUGAGGAUUGUCCUGAGGAAAUGGGAUUUUUGCCGCUUUUGUGGGUUAUCAAAGCCAAAAGCUAAUUUCCACGCACACUGGAAACAACAAAACGCGAAUGUUCCUGGAAAGCAAAUACAUCAGCACUUCAAAUACGGACACUUUAACAGUUGCAGUUGGAUUUAAGCAAAGGCACAUACUGAAGCCUCUCGGAGGGGGAUGUGAGGGGCGUCCUUGGGAUGGUGAACCAAACUAUGCAGACUCCAGGUGGCUCCUUCUCCAGGAGCGAUAACGUCUACAGAGAUGUGGGGUGAGCACAGCGGCUGGGACGGCUCAAGGUUAAACCUGCUGAGAGUCAUUCUGCAGAACCCUCAGCAGAAGGAGAAUUCAGGUCUGCAGGUCCCAGGAUGUGACCUCUCCUUGCAGCACAAUAUGGCUUUUGUCUCUGCUUUGUGCUUUCAAGGCGGCCAUGCUCAGUGAACGCCUCAUUUAUACCUGCAAUCCCUGCAGCCAAUUUACACCUCAGCUGUCCUGUGUAUGCAUGUUUUCACCAGCCUGACCUUUUCAAGCUGUUAGCACUGUCCAUGGGAUGACGUCUUGAACCCUUUACAGGAUUUGUUGGCAGCGGCAGCUAUAAUAUCUCCCUCUCCUGAGCUCCAGCGAACCCCAACAGAGUCAGUGACUCCAUUUAAGCAUAAAAGUGCUGGUGGAGAGGCUGAAGCUCCUCAGGUUUGCCGGCUUUCAGCUCUUCGCUCAGCCUGCAGAAUAAAAAGAAGCCAGGACAAUUUCAUUGCUUCUUUCACAUAAGUUUCCCACCACGGCUGUGCUGGAACUCCUGCUUCCACAGUGCGAGUAAAUGUGACCGAGGAUAAUACAGCAAAGUGGGCCGAGAUUUCUGCUGGUUGAAAACCAGAAACUGGUUUGGAAAGGGCGUCUUUGUGCAGAGCAUCCCUGCAAAUGCCGGAGGUUGCUGGACUCUGCAUCUGAAGUCCAAGCUCAGUCGCAUCCCUGCUGCAGACCUUAGAGCCCAACACGGUUGAUAUUCUCCCUGAGAAACUUUGCAAUGACCCUUUAAUUCCAUUUCAAGAUGACCCAAACCACCAAGCCCUGUACUGAACACUCCUCUAAGCUCAAUGAGAAGAGGUUGUCUCCGUCCUCCACCUGGGACAACGCGGGAGAGGACAUGUCUGAAGAUGUCCAGUAUUUGCCAGCAAAUAUGUGGUUCCAGGCCUCAUUGGAAUAAAUCAGAUGGAACACUCUUCACCUUCAUCUUAUUUCACGGAGGUGACUGAAAACCCAAAGUGCAGGAACGAAAAGAAAGUCAGGCUCACCUUUAUUAACCAACCCGUCUUCUUGCGGCUUUAGGAUCCACAAGUGUUCAAAGGCAGAGAGGACACAAGGAGGAGGAGGAAGAAGAGGAGGAGGAGGAGGAAGAAGCGGAGGAGGAGGAGGGCUGGGUGGCUGAUUUCUCCAUGAUGAAGACUCUGCACACUGUCAGACCCACUGCCGUGUGGGCUCCUCUGGAGCUCUGAGUCAUUGCAGCCAUCCCUGCACCACAUCCUCUGAGACAGACCCACACAGGAGCUAGAGAAGCUCAAGGCUUUCUCCAAAGAAAUUGCUUUCUCAUGACUAAACAUCAACAUACAGAAAAAUUAACCACAACCACAAACUUAUUUGAAAGUCCUCAGCAGCUACGAGCGCAGGGGAUAGAUAGUCUGGUGUCAAUGUUGUGGUGUAAAGCAGAUGCAGGGAGAGUGGUUGCUGGUGUUGGUGAGGGCUGCUUGAAUGUAUCUCCCUUCAAAGAGCUUCCAUGGCAAAGUAAUGGCCUGGGUGGCAAGGAGCUCCACUGGGGUGGCCUCCAAAAGGACAGCUUCUUGGCUUCAUUAUUAUAAAUAAUGAUUUUUUUAUUAGCAGAUUGUUGUGGCAUCCAGAAAAGCAGCACAUAAGCUGGUGGGGAAGCUUCAGAUCAGCUCUUGCUUUCUGCAGAUCCCUUUCCUGGGCUGGUUGGGGCACAGGCAGAGCAGGAUUUGCUUCCAGCCAGGCACCCUGUGAUGGGGUCACCAGCACCUUUCUACAACGAGUUACAGUAAAAAUCCACUCCAGCCUGUCAGUGGGGACACUUGGGUUUUGCUUUAUCAUUCCCCUUCUCCUUGGGUUUGAGAGCGGUUAGAAAAGUGCCAGCAACAUGCAAGAGAGAGAGUUAUUGUAGGCAUGGCUGGAUGCCAGCCACCCUUGUAAUUUUGUUAGUAGACUAAUAGAGGAGCAGAUGAAGCCAUCGUAGGUAAUUUUAAUGCUGCAUAGUCCCAUCAUUGUCAGAAAUGUUUCAGGGUACAUAAUUGAUAAAUUUUCUUCUUUGGAGUCUUAUUUGUUAUAUCAAGACUGGGCUGGUAGUAGUGUUUUCAACUGAGAAGGAACAAUUAGAAUAGAAAUGGUAGAAAAAAAGGAGAAAUUUUGACUGGGCAAAGUAGACCUUGUGCUCCAGAGCAGAAAGUAAAUGAGUGGGAAGAGCAGAAAGUGGAGAGUGUCGGCCAUGGGGUCAUGCUGGCUUGGAGUGAGAUGGGAAAGACAUGGAUCCAGAAGAAAUUCGAGGGAAAACGUAAGGAAGUAGAAGGGAUUAGUCCCUGCCGGGGCUGGCCAGGAUGAGCUAAAUAGCCAGACUUUUGCGCUUUCACCCAGAACCGGGGAAGAGAUGAUCUGGACACAUUGCAGGAGGAUUAUGUAUGAUUUGGGGGAGCAUGAUGCCCAUGGACAUGAUCUGGGGAUUGCAUCCCCCAGCACAGAGGGCCGCUCGACCUCCUGCUCUGUGCCAUGAAAUCGGGGAGCGAGUGAGAAGGAGCCCGAGCAACAUGAGCAAACACAAAUGUGUUUCCACUUAGCUGGUCCUCCGAGGCCAAAUGAUGUAACUCCCGCGAAGCUCUGCAAUAUGUUGGCAGGAGGAGCCUAGUGACAACUCCAACUGUAAGUUCCUGAGCUAAUGAGCAGAAAAGUUGAAUAAAAAAAUUUUAAAAAAUAAU